rnacentral:rRNA from 1 species
AGUGAACGCUGGCGGUAGGCCUAACACAUGCAAGUCGAACGGCAGCACAGAGGAGCUUGCUCCUUGGGUGGCGAGUGGCGGACGGGUGAGGAAUACAUCGGAAUCUACUCUGUCGUGGGGGAUAACGUAGGGAAACUUACGCUAAUACCGCAUACGACCUACGGGUGAAAGCAGGGGACCUUCGGGCCUUGCGCGAUUGAAUGAGCCGAUGUCGGAUUAGCUAGUUGGCGGGGUAAAGGCCCACCAAGGCGACGAUCCGUAGCUGGUCUGAGAGGACGAUCAGCCACACUGGAACUGAGACACGGUCCAGACUCCUACGGGAGGCAGCAGUGGGGAAUAUUGGACAAUGGGCGCAAGCCUGAUCCAGCCAUACCGCGUGGGUGAAGAAGGCCUUCGGGUUGUAAAGCCCUUUUGUCGGGAAAGAAAUCCAGCUGGCUAAUACCCGGUUGGGAUGACGGUACCCAAAGAAUAAGCACCGGCUAACUUCGUGCCAGCCGCCGCUGUAA